rnacentral:rRNA from 1 species
GACGAACGCUGGCGGCGCGCCUAACACAUGCAAGUCGAACGAGAGAGAAGGAGCUUGCUUCUUCGAUCGAGUGGCGAACGGGUGAGUAACGCGUGAGGAACCUGCCUCAAAGAGGGGGACAACAGUUGGAAACGACUGCUAAUACCGCAUAAGCCCACGGGUCGGCAUCGACCAGAGGGAAAAGGAGCAAUCCGCUUUGAGAUGGCCUCGCGUCCGAUUAGCUAGUUGGUGAGGUAAUGGCCCACCAAGGCGACGAUCGGUAGCCGGACUGAGAGGUUGAACGGCCACAUUGGGACUGAGACACGGCCCAGACUCCUACGGGAGGCAGCAGUGGGGAAUAUUGCACAAUGGGGGAAACCCUGAUGCAGCGACGCCGCGUGGAGGAAGAAGGUCUUCGGAUUGUAAACUCCUGUUGUUGAGGAAGA